rnacentral:misc_RNA from 1 species
AAGUCGUAACAAGGUUUCUGUAGGUGAACCUGCAGAAGGAUUAUCAUUGUAGAGCUUUAGCCCUGUUAAGAUAGAACUCUUACCUUUAUAAGUACUGUCUGUUUCCUUAGCAGGUCUGCCUGCUAAUAGACCUAAAACCAAACCCUUUUAUUACCUGUAUUAGUCUGAAAAAGUAAACAAAAAGUUAAAA